rnacentral:rRNA from 1 species
UACGGGGGGGGCAAGCGUUGUUCGGAAUUACUGGGCGUAAAGGGCGCGUAGGCGGCCAGACAAAGUCGAGCGUUAAAUUCCAGGGCUUAACCCUGGGCUGUUGCUCGAUACUAGUCGGCUAGAGUGUGGAAGAGGGUGCUGGAAUUCCCGGUGUAGCGGUGAAAUGCGUAGAUAUUGGGAAGAACACCGGUGGCGAAGGCGGCGAGCUGGCCUGUACCUGACGCUGAGGCGCGACAGCGUGGGGAGCAAACAGG